GAUGAAGAACGUAGCGAAAUGCGAUAAGUAGUGUGAAUUGCAGAAUUCAGUGAAUCAUCGAAUCUUUGAACGCACAUUGCGCCUUCUAGUAUUCUGGGAGGCAUGCCUGUUUGAGCGUCAUUAAACCUCUCUCAAGUAUGAUUACUUGGAUGUGAAGGAAGAGUACCUUAAACUUAAGGAGUGUUCUCCUUUGAAAUUGAUUAGCAGAUGGUAAUGUUAUUAAAUCCCUGAUGUUGUAAGAAAUAACAGUGGUUUUGUAGACUAUUAUCUAGCUUUAAAUUAUAAUUUUUAUUAUGGUUGACCUCAAAUCAGGUAAGGAUACCCGCUGAACUUAAACAUAUCAAUAAGCGGAGGA
rnacentral:misc_RNA from 1 species